rnacentral:rRNA from 1 species
GACGAACGCUGGCGGCGUGCUUAACACAUGCAAGUCGAACGGAAAGGCCCUGCUUUUGUGGGGUGCUCGAGUGGCGAACGGGUGAGUAACACGUGAGUAACCUGCCCUUGACUUUGGGAUAACUUCAGGAAACUGGGGCUAAUAUCGGAUAGGAGCUCCUGCUGCAUGGUGGGGGUUGGAAAGUUUCGGCGGUGGGGGAUGGACUCGCGGCUUAUCAGCUUGUUGGUGGGGUAGUGGCGUACCAAGGCUUUGACGGGUAGCCGGCCUGAGAGGGUGACCGGCCACAUUGGGACUGAGGUACGGCCCAGACUCCUACGGGCGGCAGCAGUGGGGAAUAUUGCGCAAUGGGCGGAAGCCUGAUGCAGCGACGCCGCGUGCGGGAUGACGGCCUUCGGGUUGUAAACCGCUUUCGCCUGUGACGAAGCGUGAGUGACGGUAAUGGGUAAAGAAGCACCGGCUAACUACGUG